UUUUUUCUUUCUAUCUAGCUAAUGUUUCUUAGAUUGGUUGUUAUGUGUUGGUUGUUAUGUGUGGCUUCAAUAGUUUCUUAGAUUUGUUGGCUGCUCAUAUCUGGAUAAUGUUUUUUUGGAUGCAUUAGUUGCUCGAGGCUGGAUAUGGUCGGAUUCCUUUGAUGGAUUGGUGGAUCUACUUGGAUCCUUGGUAUUUUUUGUUGUCAUAUGGGAGGCUCGGCCGCAUGUCUAGAUUCCUGCCAGUUUGUUUGUUCCUUUCUGAAUUUGUCUGCUGCUUAUGGGUUUGGCAUUGUCUGAUGUUGUUAGCUUGGUUUAAAAUAUUUUGCCACUCUCACUGUUGGUUUCGGUUAGUCCCUAGGAUUAGUUGUUGGGUUAUGUUAGGCUCAAAUGUAUGGCCAUUUGGAUUAGUAACUGAUUAUGUUAGGCUCAAAUGUAUGGCCAUUUGGAUUAGUUGCUGAUUAUGUUGGGCUCAAGCGUAUGGCCAUUUUGGAUUAGUAGCUGAUUAUGUUAGGCUCAAAUGUGAUGUGCGUUUAGGGUCAUUUUUAUUAGUACCUGACUUUUGUUCUUUGGCUUAAGGAGUAGUUGGAUGAAUCACAUGGUUGGCAUAUUGUAGGGGUUGUGGCUGUUGUGGAUGUGGUUCAGUGGAUUUAGGAAGCCAUUCUUAGGUGCUUGAUUGGAGCUUGUUAAGUAAAGGGGGUGAGAUGAUUGUGUUGAUUGAUUGAUUCAAGAUCUGCCUGGUCAUUUGUUUUUGGGAUCAUACAUCUCACACGUUGGUUUGAGGGAAUGGUGGGCCAUCAGGGGCUGGAUUUGUUUUUGUUUGAUUGGGGCUUGCAAAAGAGAGGUGCGGGGCAGGCUGUUGCUGUAUGAUAGGUUCCAAAAACUUAAUUGGUGAUUACUAAUACUAUAUUUGUUGUGGUGUAAAAAAUUGUGAUAUGGCCUAUUUCGACUUGAUUCAGAGGAUCUCAUGUGAAAGCAUGACUUGUGUGCAUCUUUAUAUAUGUCCGGGACGUCGCGGCUAGACUCAGUAGAGACAUGUUUAAUACUAGAUCCAAGACGUAUUAAUUGAACACGUUCUGACAAUCAUACAAACCAAAGCCUUGAGAUAGUACUUUAUUUCUAUGGUGUCUUUCUCAUAGUUUAUAGCAACAUUUGGUGUGUCGUAUAUAAUAUGUCUAUGAUAAUUGAGGUGCCAUCUUGAUUCUUGGAUUGCUUUGUUCUUAGGUAUGUUGGUUAGCAUCACUACUACUUUCAGAAUUCAAGGUGCAUGAUGGAUGCAAGGUUUUUUUUGCUCUGUUUUUUAUUAUAAAUAAUGGGGUUACUAAUAGUAUUCUUAGGUAUGUAACUUACUAUGACUACCUUGCUACUUGAAUAUUCACUAUGUAUUAGAUGUGAGUGAUAUAUGGUCACAUUCUUGCAUCUGAUCACGCCCUUUAUUAUUCUAUCUUUCAUGUUUUUAUCCCUGACUUUGUUUGGGUACACCUCAGCCUGCUCACUCGUCUUUCUGUUGUUGUCUUCCUGAUCCAGAUUAUGCCCAGAUCUCUGCUGCCAUCGACGCUCCAUCGACGCUCCAUCUCCGGAGUCAUCCUGGUAUUUUACUUUGCAUGCUUCUUUUCUAUGGCUCUGUCCGUUUAUGAUGUUUUCUUCUUGGAUUAAUGCUAAUCAUGUUAUGCACUUUUGCAUAUCUAGCUCCUAAUGGGAGCCACAUUGUAUUCCCCUUCCAGUGUCGUGAAUGCUCAUGGUUGUAGAUUGACAUUACUGAAGCAAGGACCUGUGUAAAUAAAUGUUACAGGUGACCACAUGUGGGUAGGAUUGUUGGUUAGGAAUUACAUAGCCUUGGUACCCCAGACCAAUAUAUUCAUUUAAUUGUUUUAAAUUUGGAUACACCAAGCAAAAUUAUAUAUGCUAGCUCAGUUGUGUAUAAUUUUUUAUAGUAGUCAGAUCCAACCUUUGUAUUUGCUUUGCUUGUUGUACUUUGGUUAGAAGCAAAUAAUGUGAUGUUGUUCUGUUGUGAUAUCCACACUGUCAAUAUCAAAGUGUACAGGUCUAUUCCUUUUUUUUUAUCAUUUUCACUUAAUUUUCCUUGUCCAGUUCAUUUUUGAAACUGAGUAUUGUAUGAGGUCCUACACGCUUCCAGCUUGCUGUAUUUGCUAAACACAUACUGCAAUGGUGGGUGAUUAGUUUAGUUUCAUAUUUAGACAAGAUAGUCUUUCUGUAUGUCAAGUAAAAUCAUGGAAAAAUUACUAAUGGGGAAGAUUGUUGUGUUUUAGGAGCAAAUGAUCAUGCCUUAAGAAUAUGCAUUUGUAGUUGUUUGAUUCUAUCAUGCUUGCUUCUCUUUUUCUACUCAGUUACACCAGGCAGAUCAAAUGAUUUUUGCCUUUGCCUUGAGUUUUAAUCGUUCUGUCGCUACCCAGCCGUUGUUAUGUUCGUUUCUCCAACCCAUGGUUGAUAACUAAGAUUUCGAAAGCAAUGGAAGAUAUAGGAGGACGUAGGGCUCCGAUAAGGGCUCCGAUGGCUCCUGCACGGCGUGAUGCCGGUUAAGGGUAGUUGCCCAUGGUGUUCCUGCGACUGCUAUGUAGGCGGAUCUGGAGGUUGAACCUCUUUCCUCUCUGUUCGUUUGGUACAGCAGCUUGUUCUAUGUGACCACGACAGCGAUGGAGCUCUCAGUGAUGUGGAGCUCAAUGACUUUCAGGUCAGAUGUUUUAGCGCUCCUCUCCAGCCUACUGAAAUAUCAGGCGUGAAGAGAGUUGUUCAAGAGAAGAUGCCCGAAGGCGUAAAUGAUAGUUGCCUUACAUUGACUGGGUUCCUUUUCCUUCAUGCUCGGUUAUGAUAAUGAAAUCAUGCUUAGAGAUGAAUUCAUUCCAACGUCAGUCAAGCGAGCUCCUGAUCAAAUGGUGGAAUUGACAAAUGAAGUGAUUGAUUACUUGAAAGGAAUAUUCAACAUGUUUGACAUAGAUAAUAUCCGCCGCCACUGCGAAGCCCAGCUCCUGAGUGCUUUAAAGCCCCAUUGUGCCAUCAGAAUGACUUGGAUUUACAAUUUGUAAGCAGAACUCAUGCUUCUUACUACCCCUUCCAGCUCUAAAAUACAUAUAUGUUUUUUUUUCUUAUUUUGUACCGCUAAACUAUGUGUGCUAAACAAAGCAUGUCGUAUUAUUUUCAGAUAAAUGAUGAUGUAGUUAUGCGCGCCAUCCAAACAAUACACACGUGGUUCCCAAAUUGGAGCAUAUAUUUCCGUGAAGAUCUUGAAGUAUGGUCUUUGCUUUCUCUUCUCACAUCUGCCAUUUAGAAUUUAUUUCCCUAUUUCUAUCACAUAUGCACUGCUUUACCAAGAUCCCACUUUGAUUAACGUCGUUCUAUUAUACUGGAUGUUUAUUCGCCUGUCACAAUGGCAUAUCCAUGUUGUUUAUAUUGUUUGGUUUGUAUUUCAUGCACGGAGUGACUUGGUUGUUUGCCGCCGUCUCCACUUGGUUUCCUCCAUGUUUCGAUCUGGUACCUCCACUCCUCACCACCUUGCUUGCCGUGCGAGCGUGUGGGUGUGUGUAUAAGUGCAACGCUUGGUUUGGUCAGUCGCUGAUUCCUCCGAACAAUUGGACUAUUGGGUGCUCAAAGACUUUAGGGGGUAGGACGGAUCCAACAAUGCAAGGAAUCGAUCAGUGGAAGUGUGGCACUCCUCAGAGCUCAGGCCUUCCUGGCCGUUGGAUCAGUUUGUUGAUGCGUUCUCAGCCGUGCAAUCUUGCCUUCGGAUGACUUUGGUCGUCGGAUCAAAUCCGAUUACUGCUACAAUGAGUAGUGAUGGAGACAUAGAACCUGUCAUCAUUUUGUCGGACUAAUUAUGGAGUUACUUGUGCAAGUUACACCAUCAGCAAACACAUGAAGACCUGAAUGCUAUCAUUGCAAGUUGAACAUUUACAUGCUCCAAGUCAAUCUGUUAGGGAGAAAACAAAGGCGUGUGUGCCUAUUAGUAAUUUUUUGUUUUAUCAUAGUGGGCACCUUAUCUGUCUGUAACAUGUGCCCUGUGCAACUGCAAAAGUGUUGGACAAUAAAAAUUCUGUGUAACACAUGUUCCUAUACACUCUACCUACGGUUAGUAUAGAAACUAUGCAUAGUUGUUACUCUUUUGGUGGCCUUGUGUAAUAUAUAUGGCAAAUAAAUUAUCAUGAACUAUUGAGCCUUUCACUUUUUCUGUAACAUACUGAACCUUUGCACUAUUGCUUUCAUCGUAUAAUCGUAUGAGAUAUAAAAUGUUUCAUAUCAGGUUGGAUAUAGCUGAGGCGGGUGGGGUGUGGCAAGCCGCACUUCCUAUCUAGUUAUGUAUGACUGUGGAAUGAGUUUGAACCCUGCAAUGGACUUGGGCCAGAUUGAAUGCUCCUUUAUACAAGGAAUUGGCUUCUUCAUAAACAAAGAACACGGAACGAAACAAACACUGAUGGAAUGGUUGUGAGCGAUAGCACAUGGGUAUACAAGAUCCCGAGCAUCGACACCGUCCCAAAGCAGUUCAAUGCCGAGGUGCUCAACACCGGAUACCACAAGAACCGCGUGCUCUCGUCGAAAGCUUCGGGGGAACCUGCCUUGGUUCUCGCAUCAUUCGUCCAUUGCGUGGUGAGAGAAGCCAUCCGAGCAGUGAGGAAGGAGUUUGGAACGCUCGUGAAAGAAAUGUGUCGUUGCAUGAUGCAAGAUUCUGGUGGUAUCAACCAGAAGGAGCGGUGUGGCGUUCUCAUGUUGCGCAGCAUCGAAUGGCAAAUCAUAGACGUGAUGUUUGAAUGUUUGUAAUGUCCAGUG